UAAUACGUAGGUGGCAAGCGUUGUCCGGAGUUAUUGGGCGUAAAGCGCGCGCAGGCGGUUCGGGAAGUCCAUGGUGAAAGCGCCCGGCUCAACUGGGCGAGUGCCGUGGGGACUAUCGAGCUGGAGGGGAGCAGAGGCGAGUGGAAUUCCGGGUGUAGUGGUGAAAUGCGUAGAGAUCCGGAGGAACACCAGUGGCGAAGGCGGCUCGCUGGGCUCUACCUGACGCUGAGGCGCGAAAGCGUGGGGAGCGAACCGGAUUAGAUACCCGGGUAGUCCACGCCGUAAACGAUGGACACUAGGUGUGGGGGGUAUCGACCCCCUCUGUGCCGAAGCUAACGCGAUAAGUGUCCCGCCUGGGGAGUACGGCCGCAAGGCUA
rnacentral:rRNA from 1 species